rnacentral:miRNA from 14 species
GGGGGUGGUAGAGGGAGAGGGAAGGGUACACCCACUCAGGAGCUGACACACUCUGCUUCCCUCCUCCGCCAG